UCAGGAUGAACGCUAGCGGCAGGCUUAACACAUGCAAGUCGAGGGGCAACGCGAGUAGCAAUACUUGGCGGCGACCGGCGCAAGGGUGCGUAACGCGUGAGCAACAUGCCCGUAUCAGGGGGAUAAUCCAGGGAAACUUGGUCUAAUACCCCAUAGUAAUUUUGUAAGGCAUCUUAUAAGAUUUAAAGCUUUGGUGGAUACGGAUUGGCUCGCGUGACAUUAGCUGGAUGGUAAGGUAACGGCUUACCAUGGCUAUGAUGUCUAGGGGUUCUGAGAGGAAGGUCCCCCCACACUGGAACUGAGACACGGUCCAGACUCCUACGGGAGGCAGCAGUGAGGAAUAUUGGACAAUGGAUGGAAAUCUGAUCCAGCCAUGCCGCGUGAAGGAAGAAAGGUCCUAUGGAUUGUAAACUUCUCUUGUAUGGGAGCAAUAAGGCCUACGAGUAGGUUGAUGAGAGUACCAUACGAAUAAGCACCGGCUAACUCCGUGCCAGCAGCCGC
rnacentral:rRNA from 1 species